GAUGAACGCUGGCGGCGUGCUUAACACAUGCAAGUCGAACGGAAAGGCUCCUGCUUGCAGGGGUACUCGAGUGGCGAACGGGUGAGUAACACGUGGGUGAUCUGCCCUGCACUUCGGGAUAAGCCUGGGAAACUGGGUCUAAUACCGGAUAGGACGAUGGUUUGGAUGCCAUUGUGGAAAGUUUUUCGGUGUGGGAUGAGCUCGCGGCCUAUCAGCUUGUUGGUGGGGUAAUGGCCUACCAAGGCGUCGACGGGUAGCCGGCCUGAGAGGGGGGACGGCCACUUUGGGCUAGGGAUCCGCCCCAGACCCCGCCGGGGGGCGGGAGGGGGGAAUUUUGCAAAGGGGCCGCAGCCCGUAGGCGGAGCCCCCGGGGGGGGGAGGACGGCCUUCGGGUUAUACACCCCUUUCGCUAGGGAGGAACCGAAAGUCAGGGUCCCUGGAAAAGAGCCCCCGCCUACCCACGUG
rnacentral:rRNA from 1 species